AACGAACGCUGGCGGCAGGCCUAACACAUGCAAGUCGAACGGGGGUCCUUCGGGACUCAGUGGCGCACGGGUGAGUAACGCGUGGGAACUUGCCCAACGGUGGGGAAUAGCCACGGGAAACUGUGGGUAAUACCGCAUACGCCCCGCGGGGAAAGGACUUCGGUCGCCGUUGGAGAGGCCCGCGUCCGAUUAGCUAGUUGGGUGGGGUAAUGGCCUACCAAGGCGACGAUCGGUAGCUGGUCUGAGAGGACGAUCAGCCA
rnacentral:rRNA from 1 species